rnacentral:lncRNA from 1 species
AAGAAUACACGCACAGAACAUAGAGCACAAUUCACGCAUAGACCAUCUUUUCAUACACCAUCGGAUUUAUCACAGCAACACACACCAAGAAUACCCUCAUAUACUUAUCUCACCCGCACACACCAUGGGAUAGAAUCCUUAAUAUCACUCUCACGAUCACACACACUCACCGAAAAAACACACUCUCUCACCGAAAAACACACUCGCUCAUUAGAAAACUCUAUCAAUUUAUAGCAUAGUUCACUCACCUCACUAUGCACAUACUGAACCGAAGGAGAAAGAGAUUGGGGAGGUAAACGGAGAAGGGUUAACGAUAUAAUUCGGCGUCUUGACUAUUUUUCGACAAACCUUCUCACCAAAAUUGGUUUACAGGUGGUCUUGCUAAUUGAUUCAAGCUUAAAACUCCUAAAACAUCUCUUGGUUCCCAUUGGUAUUCGGUUCCCUGUCAUUAUCAACUGCUUUGGGUUCGUCUGUCUUAGAAAUUCACUUUCGAAAUUGGGCUUUGGGUUCGUCGGGUUUCGUCCUUGGUUCGGGAAUCUAGUUUUUGUUCAUCUCGUCCUAUCCAUCGAGAUCAGUUUUGUUUUUGAAUUCCUCAAUAUCGAGUUUGGAGUUUUUGGUUAUCGAGGUUCAAUUCGAGGUAUUUCGGACGCUGUUCUAUCUCCGAUAUAUUGAAAUGGAGACUUGAGGUCCAAUCUUUUGACUCCCUCUUUUCACUUUAUUUCGAUUUGGUGCAUUGAUGUUAUGAUUAUGUGUUGCUGGUUAUGAUUGGAUGAUCUUGUUGAUGUUUGAUAUUGUUUAUCCCUGAAUAAUUAAUCAUGGUAUGAGAUUAAUGUUAGCAUGGGUUUGAAUAAUUACUUUGUAUGAAAAUUGACGUAAAAGAGGAAAUACGGGGCGGAAUUGAGAAAUUGAUAAAAAUGGUGAAUAUAGAUCAACUUUGGUUUAUUAUCUUUUUUGUUUAAAUCGAAAUAAGCGUGAAUAUUAUUGGAACGUGACAAAAUUAUGAUAUGUUGAAACGGAUAGGCAAACGUAAGUUCGGGUAGGCAAAUUUAGAAAUAACGAUUUGUUGAGUGUUUGAAUAUAUGUGUGAAUGAUUCGUUCUAUUUUAUCGUACAAAAAUUGAAAUUGUACUCAUGUGGCCGAGAAAUGCCCUGGGAGAUUUGUAUUGAUUUAUCUGGGGAACGCCCCGAAGUACCAUGUACGCAGAGAAGGCUCGGGAUUAAGGCCUGAGGCAUCGGGUAAGGCAUUGUAGCAUAGUUUUAGGAUUAGUUUAGAAUAAGAUUUACAUUUCUGUAUUUUCGAUUUUGGAUUGUAUAAUUGGACUGGACAUUAUAUUUUAAGUUUGUUUGAUUGAUUGUUUUAUGUGUUUUUGUGUGGUUUAUACAUUUGUAGUGUCAAAUUAGCCGAUAUGUUCCAUCAAGCGACCGUGGUCGAACUACGGGACCAAGGGGUGGCUAACACCUUCCCCUCGGUCAAUAAAAUUCUUUAACCAAAAUCUCUGUUUGCAAACUAGUUUCAAACAGUCAAACGGUUUUGGAAAGGAUUUUUAAAACUGACUUGGCACACCGAGCUUAUGUCAAGUGGCGACUCUGAAUAAAAAUGUAAAUAAUCCUUUUUUCGAAAUAAACUUUCUUCAUUUUGUCACUUAAUAAUAAAAAUCCUUUCAUCCCUUAAAAUGAAUCUUUUUUUUGGUUAAAAAAGGGUGUGACACCUGCAGAAUGGAGAGUAGCAACAGUAAAGAGAAACCCAAUAGUCAACACAAGUUCACAAACAUGCGGUGCAGAUUCUUAAUUAGAUAAUUAUGUAAUAAGCAUACCAUUACUCAUGAAACAAAACCCUUUAUUCGUGGCCAUAUUCAUGAUCAAAACAUAUCAAAUAACAACUAUUGUAACCAGCAACUGAUUAUGGGGCAACUCAUGAGCUCAUCACCAGUGUAUACUCAUCAAACACCUUCAUCGAACUUUGGUCAAGACAUGAAUGAGUUGUUAAAAAAUGGAGAUUAAUGGAUGAGCUUAGAUCUAUUUUAGAGCUUGAUCACUUUUGAUCUCAACCUUUUCAUCUUGUACACUCAAAUAACAUGAUGAUAUGUAGCUUGACUGAGUACUACUACUAGUUUGCCAAAUAUGACCGUUUGCCAAAUAUGACCACUCGUCUAAAUAAUAGUCUAUAUAACUUCUUGAACUAAAUAUAUUCAGUGAAAACAGAUCAAACCAAUGAAAUAGUUGUAUAAAAAUUUUCUUGAAUUUACACUUGGUCAUUCAACUUUAAAUCGAUUUCAUGGAAAACAGAAAAUAGAACAUCUAUAACUUUCAGUGACAAAACAAUGAAAAAUAAGAAACAGAACAUCUAUAACUUUCAUAUUCUCUUCAAAUUGUUGGAAUUAAAGAAUCAAACGAUUUUAUGGAUUAAACGAUU